rnacentral:rRNA from 1 species
GUCUACAGCCAUGCCACCCUGAACAAGCCCGAUCCCUUCUGAUCUCGGAAACUAAGCAGGGUCAGGCCUGGUUAGUACUUGGAUGGGAGACCACCUAGGAAGACCAAGUGCCAUAGGCA